rnacentral:tRNA from 1 species
CUGGUGUUGAAGCUCAAUGGUAGAGCACUUGCCUAGCAUGUAUGAGGCCCUGGCUUGGAUCCCUGACACUGAA